rnacentral:rRNA from 1 species
ACUCCUACGGGAGGCAGCAGUGGGGAAUUUUGGACAAUGGGCGAAAGCCUGAUCCAGCAAUACCGCGUGCAGGAAGAAGGCCCUCGGGUUGUAAACUGCUUUUGUACGGAACGAAAAGGUCCUGGCUAAUAUCUGGGGCUGAUGACGGUACCGUAAGAAUAAGCACCGGCUAACUACGUGCCAGCAGCCGCGGUAAUACGUAGGGUGCAAGCGUUAAUCGGAAUUACUGGGCGUAAAGCGUGCGCAGGCGGCUGUGUAAGACAGGUGUGAAAUCCCCGAGCUCAACUUGGGAAUUGCACUUGUGACUGCAUAGCUAGAGUACGGCAGAGGGGGAUGGAAUUCCGCGUGUAGCAGUGAAAUGCGUAGAUAUGCGGAGGAACACCGAUGGCGAAGGCAGUCCCCUGGGCCCUGUACUGACGCUCAUGCACGAAAGCGUGGGGAGCAAACAGGAUUAGAUACCCUGGUAGCUACGA